rnacentral:pre_miRNA from 1 species
AAUAAACUAUUUUUUCACUUUUUACCUUCAAUUUUUAACUCUUCGUCUUAUUAAAAAAAUUUUGAGAUUAAUAUUUUUGUUUUUAUUAUAUGAUAAAUCUACUUACGUGUGACUAAUUUUUUUCUAAUUUCCUGAAAAAAUUUUAAAUAAGACAGAUGGUCAAACGUUGGACACGGAAACCGAAGAAUUCAUUUUUU